UACAGAGGUCCCAAGCGUUGUUCGGAUUCAUUGGGCGUAAAGGGUGCGUAGGUGGCGCCAUAAGUCAGGUGUGAAAUCUCGGGCUUAACUCCGAAACUGCAUUUGAUACUGUGGUGCUUGAGGACUGGAGAGGAGACUGGAAUUCACGGUGUAGCAGUGAAAUGCGUAGAUAUCGUGAGGAAGACCAGUGGCGAAGGCGGGUCUCUGGACAGUUCCUGACGCUGAGGCGCGAAGGCCAGGGGAGCAAACGGG
rnacentral:rRNA from 1 species